CCCAUAGUGGACAGGUUUCAGUGGAGCUUCCAGACUAAGACAGACUAGGAAGAAGGAGCUGGCCACCCAUUUCCAUGAAUCUCCAUGGAACCUUGUCUGAUACAGAGCUGAAGGCAUUCAGAACCUACUGAAGUGUAAAUCACUGCUUCAGAGAAGGCUGGCCACACCAGAGAACACAUUCGCAUGUUUGAACUUCUGAAGUUUCCUCUGAGGAAAGAAUUACCUCAAUAGUACCUGGCUUGAAUAUUUAUUAGGCACCAGGUACAUAACGUCCACUAAGUGUCUUCUACUGCUGUGCCUCCCGAUUCUCUGCUCAGGACCGAGUCACUCAUUAUUCUUAGUUUCUUGCAAGUCUUUGAAUUUGACCACACAAAGAUGAGUAUUUCUCUAGCAAGUUCCCCAGGUCCAAGAGAACCACUUAGCCCAAGAUCACAUCCCCUUCAUGAAGGAAGCACACACUUGUUGACUCUUCACAGCACCCCGGUAUACAGUUGCAUAUUCUUCGUUGUGGGUCCUUCUAGUUGUGGUAUGUGGGACGCUGCCUCAGCAUGGUUUGAUGAGCGGUGCCAUGUUCGCGUCUGGGAUUUGAACCAACGAAACACUGGGCCGCCUGCAGUGGAGCACGUGAACUUAACCACUCGGCAACGGGGCCAGCCCAAGAUAAAAUCUGCUUUUAAUAUUCAUUUCAAUGGUUUCUUUUUACUUUUUUUUUUUGAGGAAGAUUGGCCUUGAGCUAACGUCUGUUGUCAAUCUUCCUCUUUUUACUUGAGGAAGAUUGUUGCUGAGCUAACAUCUGUGCCAAUCUUCUUCUAUUUUAUGCAGGAUGCCACCACAGCAUGGUUUGACGAUCAGAGCUAGGUCCUGGCCUGGAUCUGAACCUGCAAACUCCUGACCGCUGAAGCUGAGUGUGGGAAGGCAAUCACCACACCAACAGGUGGGUCCACAGAGCGCCUCACACUGCCCUUCUGGAUGUGGAUCUCCAACUCUGUAUCUACGCUCAUAAUCUUGUUCUGAUAGUUUUAAAAAGUAAAAGCGCCAUUCCUGAUGACCUGUUAAAAUCCUAUUUUUUGAAUGCUGUUGUGGAUACCUUGAACAUUUUACUGGUUUUCUCGUUAAUUAUUAACUUGAAUAAAGUCUUUGACACUAUUUUUCUCUCUAUAUAAGAGCCGCAGGAGAGAACUACACUGUGACAUUCUAAUUCCUGUUCAUCUAAACUUUCCUUGUGGAAAGUUUCCUGGUUCCCCCAUACAAAAUUAAACAUUUUGUUGCAAUUAUCACAACCAUUAUAAUUAUCCAUGGCCCUGUGUUUCUUCCAAUGCGAUGUGGUGUUAAAGACAACGCGUUAGUCACGUGCUUUAUUUACUCAUUUAAUCCAAGUUCCCCAGUUGGCUUUGUGUUUUAUCUAUAUUGCCAUAUUUGCCUUUUCUAUGAAUUGCCUAAAAAAGUUUUUAAAAGAGCUAUAAACUAACAAUGAUAGAUUCAACUGAGUUAGCACAUAUUCUCUCUGGGACGUAGUUUCUCAUUGAUAAAAUGAUGGAGGUGAGGUAGGUCAGAGGCCACAAUCUGCCCACCUCUUUCUUAGCAAAAUUUUUUUUUUAAAGAUUUUAUUUUUCCUUUUUCUCCCAAAGCCCCCCAGUACAUAGUUGUGUAUUUUUAGUUGUGGGCUCUUCUAGUUGUGGCAUGUGGGACGCCCCCUCAGCAUGGCCCAAGGAGUGGCACCAUGGCCACUCCCAGGAUUCAAAGCAGCGAAACCCUGGGCCGCCGAAGUGGAGCGUGUGAACUCAACCACUCGGCCACAGGGCUGGCCCCUCUUAGCACAAUUUUGAUAGAUUGUGUGUGUGCUUUUCUUUUAAAAAAAAUCUCCCAUUAUAUUGUCUAAACAGAGACUGCUUUUUCUCUAAGAUUGAGGAAAGAAAGAAAGAUGGAGUUGCAAAAGAAAAUAUUUCCAUUUCCAACACAUGUGUAUAUGGAACAGUUACAGGAAGGUCCCACUCUGCCUAAAGCAUUCUGUGAGGCAUUAGCCCAGCUCACCACGUGCACGGCAAACACAUGCAAGGAAAGCCAUUUUUACUGAGCAGAUCUGGUCCUGAGAAAGACAAACCCUUUUGGUUCUGUUUCAAGGCAGUUUAACCACCACGACGUAACAGCUGGAACUCCACUUUAGCCAUCUCUCACACAAGUCUUUCUGAUCGGUUAUGGAUUUUUCUCGUCAACAGCACAAACGCAGAAGGCUGACGACUGCUGGUUUCUGGCUGUCUGCUCACAAAGGCAGUUUGAUGGUGCGCUGAGCACUGGUAGAUUCCUUGUAUAUCUCCACAGAUAAGUAACUCAAAGAAAUGAAAGUUAGCCUCUGAAGACCUUCUCUUCUCGGAAUGACGUUCCUGGGAAAAGUCCACCUAAGGCAGAGGGCGGGAUCGAGACUUAAAAUCAUAUGCCAAUUUCAAGAAGACAUUACAACUAUCAGAACAAUUAAUAAGCUGAAAUACGGACAUUUUCAGAAAAUCAAAAUGUCUGCUUUCUCAAACACUUUUGAGUAUAAAUUCUAUAUCAUUUAAGACAAAAAUGGAAAUCAUUAUCUUUUUCAUAUGUCAUGCCACAGUGUUUGUUAAAACAAACACAAAAACACAAACGUGAUCGCUCCACUAAAGCG
ensembl:lncRNA